UAACCCCAGCGCCACAAGUGGGAACCACGAUUAUUGGGUCUAAAGCAUCCGUAGCCGGUUUGGCAAAUGCCCUGUGAAAUCGUUCUGCCUAACAGAACGGCGUGCGGGGUAGACUACCGAACUUGGGACCAGGAGAGGGAGGCGGUAUUCCUGAGGGAGCGGUAAAAUGUUAUAAUCUCAGGAGGACCACCAAUGGCGAAGGCAGCCUUCUAGAAUGGAUCCGACGGUGAGGGAUGAAAGCUAGGGGAGCGAUCCGGAUUAGAUACCCGAGUAGUCCUAGCUGUAAACGCUGCAUGCCAGAUGUUGCACAAUCUUCGAGAUUGUGCAGUGUCGAAACGAAGGUGUUAAGCAUGCCACCUGGGAAGUACGGUCGCAAGGCUG
rnacentral:rRNA from 1 species